UGGGGAAUAUUGCACAAUGGGGGAAACCCUGAUGCAGCGACGCCGCGUGAGCGAAGAAGGUUUUCGAAUCGUAAAGCUCUGUCCUAUGAGAAGAUAAUGACGGUAUCAUAGGAGGAAGCCCCGGCUAAAUACGUGCCAGCAGCCGCGGUAAUACGUAUGGGGCGAGCGUUGUCCGGAAUUAUUGGGCGUAAAGGGUACGUAGGCGGUUUUUUAAGUCAGGUGUCAAAGCGUGGAGCUUAACUCCAUUAAGCACUUGAAACUGAAAGACUUGAGUGAAGGAGAGGAAAGUGGAAUUCCUAGUGUAGCGGUGAAAUGCGUAGAUAUUAGGAGGAAUACCGGUGGCGAAGGCGACUUUCUGGACUUUUACUGACGCUCAGGUACGAAAGCGUGGGGAGCAAACAGG
rnacentral:rRNA from 1 species